UACGUAGGGUGCAGGCGUUAAUCGGAAUUACUGGGCGUAAAGCGUGCGCAGGCGGUUUGCUAAGACAGGUGUGAAAUCCCCGGGCUUAACCUGGGAACUGCGCUUGUAACUGGCAAGCUGGAGUGUGGCAGAGGGGGGUGGAAUUCCACGUGUAGCAGUGAAAUGCGUAGAGAUGUGGAGGAACACCGAUGGCGAAGGCAGCCCCCUGGGCUAACACUGACGCUCAUGCACGAAAGCGUGAGGGGCAAACAGG
rnacentral:rRNA from 1 species